AUGUUCUAUUCUGGAGCAUUUAGUGCAUCUUGGCUUGCAAAUGGAGAUCCGGACCGUGGGAAAACACCAUAUGAAAAUGAAAACGCAGAAUGCAAUGGAAAGAAUAAUGUGGGAACUUCCUCUACUGCUGAUGAUAAGUCAGGUGCUGCUCAAUUCAAGCGUCAGGCAAAUACCCAAGAUACUCCUGAAGAUGAUGGGUCUAAGGAAUCGCUUGAUAACACGCUGCUGAUUGAUACUCUGGCUCGGGAGCAUGAUGAAGCUGAAAAAAAGAAAGAAAAGUGGCUCUAUCUUUUGGCGAGUAUGCUGUGUAUGAAAAUGAGAAUGGAGCUUUCAAUGGGCAGGGCUCGAGCACAUAUCUGGUCCAGUCUCCUGAAUCUUCGAUGGACAAUGAGACCGAGGUGA
rnacentral:rRNA from 1 species